rnacentral:rRNA from 1 species
GAUGAACGCUGGCGGCGUGCCUAAUACAUACAAGUCGAGCGAACAGACGAGGAGCUUGCUCCUCUGACGUUAGCGGCGGACGGGUGAGUAACACGUGGAUAACCUACCUAUAAGACUGGGAUAACUUCGGGAAACCGGAGCUAAUACCGGAUAAUAUAUUGAACCGCAUGGUUCAAUAGUGAAAGACGGUUUUGCUGUCACUUAUAGAUGGAUCCGCGCCGCAUUAGCUAGUUGGUAAGGUAACGGCUUACCAAGGCAACGAUGCGUAGCCGACCUGAGAGGGUGAUCGGCCACACUGGAACUGAGACACGGUCCAGACUCCUACGGGAGGCAGCAGUAGGGAAUCUUCCGCAAUGGGCGAAAGCUUGACGGAGCAACGCCGCGUGAGUGAUGAAGGUCUUCGGAUCGUAAAACUCUGUUAUUAGGGAAGAACAAAUGUGUAAAUAACUAUGCACGUCUUGACGGUACCUAAUCAGAAAGCCACGGCUAACUACGUG